AACAAACGCUGGCGGCGUGCCUAAUACAUGCAAGUCGAACGGGGAAAGUAGCAAUACGAGUACUAGUGGCGCACGGGUGAGGAAUACAUGGGUAAUCUGCCCUCGAGCUCGGGAUAACCAGUCGAAAGACUGGCUAAUACCGGAUAUGACCACAAGAUCUGAGGAUCAAGGGGUAAAAGGUUUUUCGCUUGAGGAUGAGCCCAUGUGGGAUUAGCUAGUUGGUGUAGGUAACGGCUCACCAAGGCGACGAUCCCUAACUGGUCUUAGAGGAUGAUCAGUCACACUGGAACUGAGACACGGUCCAGACUCCUACGGGAGGCAGCAGUAGGGAAUAUUGCACAAUGGAGGAAACUCUGAUGCAGCGACGCCGCGUGAGUGAUGAAGGGCCUUCGGGUCGUAAAGCUCUGUCGUAUGGGACUAACAAAAUGAAGGUACCAUGCAAGAAAGGAAUCGGCUAACUUCGUGCCAGCAG
rnacentral:rRNA from 1 species